CCUACGGGUGGCAGCAGUGGGGAAUAUUGCACAAUGGGCGAAAUCCUGAUGCAGCGACGCAGCGUGCGUGAAGAAGGAUUUCGGAUUGUAAAGCUCUAUCAGCAGGGAAGAACCAAGACGAUACCUGACUAUGAAGCACCGGCUAAAUACGUGCAAGCAGCCGCGGUAAUACGUAGGGGGCAAGCGUCAUCCGGAUUUACUGGGGGUACAGGGUGUGUAGACGGUUUUGCAAGUCUGAUGUGAAAGCCCAGGGGUUAACCCUGGGACUGCUUUGGAUACUGGUAGACUAGAGUGCUGGAGAGGUAAGUGGAAUUCCUAGUGUAGCGGUGAAAUGCGUAGAUAUUAGGAAGAACACCAGUGGCGAAGGCAGCUUACUGGACAGUAACUGACGUUGAGGCUCGAAAGCGUGGGGAGCAAACAGGAUUAGAUACCCUGGUAGUC
rnacentral:rRNA from 1 species